GCUAAAAAUCUAGCCCAACUUUUCUUUAUUCCCCACCUUAAUCUCCAACCUUAAACCAAAACAUUUGUUAUAUUCAGUAAAGGCGAUUGAAAAAUUUAUUGGAGCCAUAAACAUAGUACCGCAAGGGAAAGAUGAAAUAAAAAUGAAACAAAUUUUAAGCAUAAAAAAGUAGAGCUUAACCCUCGUACCUUUUGCAUCAUGAUUUAACUAGUCUAAUCAAGCAAAAAGACUUUUAGUUUGACAUCCCGAACCCAGACGAGCUAUUUUGAGACAGCUUUAUGAGCAAAUCCGUCCCUGUUGCAAAAGGGUGGAAAGAUCUCAAAAUAGAGGUGACAAACCAAACGAGCCUGGUGAUAGCUGGUUGCUCGUGAAAAGGAUCUUAGUCCCGCUUAAAGACAUACUUAUUCUUCAAAAUUCAUCUUUAAAGUAAUUCAAAUAAGGUACAGCCUGUUUGAAAAAGGAUACAACCUCCACUCCUGGGUUAUUUCCAUGAAUUUUUGAUAAAGUAGGCCUAAAAGCAGCCACCUUAAACAAAAGCGUCAAAGCUUCUUCAUAGUUCAUAUUAAUCUCUUUCUCUCUCUCCAACCCUCAACUCUUAAAGAGCAACUCUAUACCCCUAUAGAAAAUUUUAUGUUAAAACUAGUAAUAAGAAGAAACCCUUCUCUUUAAUGUAAACGUAAAUCAGUAAGGAUCCUCCACUGAUCAUUAACGUUCCUAACUCCGUAGUAAUAACUAACCAAGAAAAAAUUACUCAAAUUCACGUUAACCUAACACAAGAACAUUUUAAGAAAGAUUAAAAGAAAAAGAAGGAACUCGGCAAAUUUUAGCCUCGCCUGUUUACCAAAAACAUCGCCUCUCGAGACUCAUGAGAGGUCCAGCCUGCCCAGUGACAUUGUUCAACGGCCGCGGUAUCCUAACCGUGCGAAGGUAGCGUAAUCACUUGUUCUUUAAAUGAGGACUAGUAUGAACGGCUUAACGAGGGCUAUACUGUCUCCUUUCUCUAAUCAAUGAAACUAAUCUUCUCGUGAAGAAGCGAGAAUAAACCUAUAAGACGAGAAGACCCUAUGGAGCUUUAAACAGACAAAAUAUUUGCUUUUAUAAUUUAAUUUUAUCUUCCUAGAAUAAAACACAACCAAGCAUUUUAUUUUCAGUUUUAGGUUGGGGUGACCACGGAGAAUAAACAAUCCUCCAUGUUGAAAGAGCCCAUCUCUUAGCAAAAAGCUACAGCUUGACGCAUCAACAAACUGACUUCCAUUGACCCAAUUAUUUUGAUCAACGAACCAAGUUACCCUAGGGAUAACAGCGCAAUCUAUUUCGAGAGCUCAUAUCGACAAAUAGGUUUACGACCUCGAUGUUGGAUCAGGGUAUCCCAGUGGUGCAGCCGCUACUGACGGUUCGUUUGUUCAACGAUUAAAACCCUACGUGAUCUGAGUUCAGACCGGAGUAAUCCAGGUCAGUUUCUAUCUAUAAAGAGCUUUUUCUAGUACGAAAGGACCGAAAAAGCAUGGCCAAUGACCCACCAAGCCAUAAAUUUUUAACCCAUGCUUAAAACUUAAUUAUCAAAAAUCUUCUAAUUUCCUCAAGACCUAGAGACCAA
rnacentral:rRNA from 1 species